rnacentral:rRNA from 1 species
CUACGGAGGGUGCAAGCGUUACUCGGAAUCACUGGGCGUAAAGCGCGCGCAGGCGGUCUUUUAAGGUGGAUGUGAAGGCCUACGGCUCAACCGUAGAACUGCAUCCAAAACUAUUAGACUAGAGUGUGGGAGAGGAAGAUGGAAUUAGUUGUGUAGGGGUAAAAUCCGUAGAGAUAACUAGGAAUACCAAAAGCGAAGGCAAUCUUCUGGAACACUACUGACGCUGAGGCGCGAAAGCGUGGGGAGCAAACAGGAUUAGAAACCCUAGUAGUCC